rnacentral:piRNA from 1 species
UGUACGAUCGGUUGUCUGACCUCGUUGC